rnacentral:rRNA from 1 species
GACGAACGCUGGCGGCGUGCCUAAUACAUGCAAGUUGAGCGCUGAAGGUUGGUACUUGUACCAACUGGAUGAGCAGCGAACGGGUGAGUAACGCGUGGGGAAUCUGCCUUUGAGCGGGGGACAACAUUUGGAAACGAAUGCUAAUACCGCAUAAAAACUUUAAACACAAGUUUUAAGUUUGAAAGAUGCAAUUGCAUCACUCAAAGAUGAUCCCGCGUUGUAUUAGCUAGUUGGUGAGGUAAAGGCUCACCAAGGCGAUGAUACAUAGCCGACCUGAGAGGGUGCUCGGCCUCAUUGGGAUUGGGACACGGCCCAACCUCCUGCGGGUGGCAGCCGUAGGGAAUCUUCGGCGAUGGACGCAAGUCUGACCGAGCAACGCCGCGUGAGUGAAGAAGGUUUUCGGAUCGUGAAACUCUGUUGGUAGAGAAGAACGUUGGUGAGAGUGGAAAGCUCAUCAAGUGACGGUAACUACCCAGAAAGGGACGGCUAACUACGUG